CUGUCGGCCCCUCGCGACGCCAACCUGAAAACUCCGCCAGGGCCGGAAGGCAGCAACGGUAUCGGGUGAUGCGGGUGCCGAGGCCAGCCGGCGGGGC
rnacentral:SRP_RNA from 1 species